rnacentral:rRNA from 1 species
UACAGAGGGUGCAAGCGUUGUUCGGAAUUAUUGGGCGUAAAGGGCGUGUAGGCGGUUUGAUAAGUCUUCUGUGAAAUCUACGGGCUUAGCCUGUAACGUGCAGAGGAAACUAUCAGGCUUGAGUGUCGGAGAGGAUAGGGGAAUUCCCGGUGUAGAGGUGAAAUUCGUAGAUAUCUGGAGGAACACCGGUGGCGAAGGCGGCAUCCUGGACCGGUAUUGACGCUGAGGCGCGAAAGCUAGGGGAGCAAACGGG